rfam:Asian citrus Psyllid, Diaphorina citri - Florida Strain, whole genome shotgun sequence.
GCCAGCCGCGAUAGCACGUUAAAAACACCACUUUCCAAUAGAUCACUGAAGGUAAGCAACGUUGUGCGUGGUUGGUAUUCGCAUGGGUGACCAUCUGGGCAAUUGCGUGCACCUUUUC